AACUGAUAAAUUUGUUCAAGGCAUUGGAAUUUUUUUAAAAAACUAAAGAGAGAUUCUAAUAUUAAAGUAUCGCAAAUAUUAGAUGUUGCUUAUGUAUAAAAACAGAACUUUUAUAUAUUCAACGUCAAAAAACAAACUUAGAUCGAAGGAAACGAUGUGGCUGCACCAACAAGGAGAAACAACCAGUAAUGUUGAUAGGCUAACAAAUAUGCAGGAAAAAAUCCAGACAUUGAAGUAAAAAAAUAUCACAAAACGAGUCAUAAAGGGCAAAAAUUGAAGCGAAACUUGAUGCCCAUAAAGCGCAAAUCGGUUCUUUAGAAAACCGAGCUCAUGAAACAUGGUUGGCUGCCCGACAGACUGAAAGAAGAUUUGAAGAAGCUCGCUUUGCGUCGGAAGUUUAAUUUUCUUGUUGGCAGCAAUCCUCAUAAUCUUGCCAAAUGUUCAGCUUUUGGAAUUUUGGAGAGCAUGGCCGACUACACUCAUCAAACAUUCGUUUGUUGUUGGACUUUUUUUUCUUGGAAGCUUCGUACAACACUCAGUUGGAUAGUUCGGUGCGUAUAAACACUGGCAUACAUUGGCUGGUUGCUGCGCUUGAAUAAGAAGGUAAUUCGCAGGUGGCAGCUCGUUGUGUGUGAUUCUGUUCGAAAAUUAUUUUGGACAAGGAACCAGGUCAAGGAUGUACUUUUCGGGUAAAUUUGAAAUGUAUUUGUUUAUAAAAAUUGAAAUAAAAAAUUGUAUAAAUAA